UUUUUUUUUUCUUCAUGUCUCCACGAGCUCCGGGCGCUCUGAAUUUUUUUUUCCGUUUCCUUCACGUGGUGGGGAUAUUGCGCCGUUGCAAGGUGUGGUGGUGUAAGCUAAUGUGCGAUUGAAGCGACGCAAAGAGGUGCUGCAUUGCAACAUUUCAAGUACGAGCAAAUCUUGUAUUUUUUUUUCAUACGCACUAUGCAUUGGCAGCGUAAUGCCAAGGUUGACGUUGGUGAUCUUGCGGUCGAUCGAUUAGCAACCCCGGCUGGAUUUUGUAGUGUCAAGGAUUCUUUCCAUGCAAGUAUCAUGUGGAGGUUGGAGAAUUAUAUGAGUAGCGUUGUAAGUUCACAAGUGGCGCUGGAUUGGAGUUCAGCACGAUAGUAGGUGAUAGCGCCUUGAGGUAGUGGAGAUCAAUGAAGGCGCAAUGGCAGUUGCGAUUAGCUUGUGGUGCAGCUCAAUGGUGUAGAAGCUCACUUAGAAUCAGCAAUUGUUUAUUCUCUUUGGUGUGUGGCUGUGCUACACAUUAUUUUUUUUCCUUGAUUGAUCUAUAGUUCAAAGCUGUUGUCGAUGGCGACAGUGUUCCGAUCUCUUGCGGGGGUUUUUCUCGCUUA